rnacentral:rRNA from 1 species
UGAGGGGGAAAGUGGGGGACCGCAAGGCCUCACGCGAAUGGAGCGGCCGAUGUCAGAUUAGCUAGUUGGUGGGGUAAAGGCUCACCAAGGCGACGAUCUGUAGCGGGUCUGAGAGGAUGAUCCGCCACACUGGGACUGAGACACGGCCCAGACUCCUACGGGAGGCAGCAGUGGGGAAUUUUGGACAAUGGGCGCAAGCCUGAUCCAGCCAUGCCGCGUGCGGGACGAAGGCCUUCGGGUUGUAAACCGCUUUCAGCCGGAAAGAAAUCGCUGUUUUUAAUACGGACAGUGGAUGACGGUACCGGAAGAAGAAGCACCAGCUAACUACGUGCCAGCAGCCGCGGUAAUACGUAGGGUGCGAGCGUUAAUCGGAAUUACUGGGCGUAAAGCGUGCGCAGGCGGUUUU